UACGGAGGGGGCUAGCGUUGUUCGGAAUUACUGGGCGUAAAGCGCACGUAGGCGGACCAGAAAGUAGGGGGUGAAAUCCCGGGGCUCAACCUCGGAACUGCCUUCUAAACUCCUGGUCUUGAGGUCGAGAGAGGUGAGUGGAAUUCCGAGUGUAGAGGUGAAAUUCGUAGAUAUUCGGAGGAACACCAGUGGCGAAGGCGGCUCACUGGCUCGAUACUGACGCUGAGGUGCGAAAGCGUGGGGAGCAAACAGG
rnacentral:rRNA from 1 species